rnacentral:rRNA from 1 species
AGGGAUUGCCCUAGUAACGGCGAGUGAAGCGGCAACAGCUCAAAUUUGAAAGCUAGCCUUCGGGUUCGCAUUGUAAUUUGUAGAGGAUGCUUUGGGUAAAACGCCAGUCUAAGUUCCUUGGAACAGGACGUCAUAGAGGGUGAGAAUCCCGUAUGUGACUGGAAAUGUUAACCUAUGUAAAGCUCCUUCGACGAGUCGAGUUGUUUGGGAAUGCAGCUCUAAAUGGGAGGUAAAUUUCUUCUAAAGCUAAAUAUUGGCGAGAGACCGAUAGCGCACAAGUAGAGUGAUCGAAAGAUGAAAAGCACUUUGGAAAGAGAGUUAAAAAGCACGUGAAAUUGUUGAAAGGGAAGCGCUUGCAAUCAGACUUGUUUAAACUGUUCGGCCGGUCUUCUGACCGGUUUACUCAGUUUGGACAGGCCAGCAUCAGUUUCGGCGGCCGGAUAAAGGCAUUGGGAAUGUGGCCUUCACUUCGGUGGAGGUGUUAUAGCCCAGUGUGUAAUACGGCCAGCCGGGACUGAGGUCCGCGCUUCGGCUAGGAUGCUGGCGUAA